rnacentral:rRNA from 1 species
UGGGGAAUAUUGGACAAUGGGCGAAAGCCUGAUCCAGCCAUGCCGCGUGUGUGAAGAAGGUCUUCGGAUUGUAAAGCACUUUAAGUUGGGAGGAAGGGCAGUUACCUAAUACGUGAUUGUCUUGACGUUACCGACAGAAUAAGCACCGGCUAACUCUGUGCCAGCAGCCGCGGUAAUACAGAGGGUGCAAGCGUUAAUCGGAAUUACUGGGCGUAAAGCGCGCGUAGGUGGUUAGUUAAGUUGGAUGUGAAAUCCCCGGGCUCAACCUGGGAACUGCAUUCAAAACUGACUGACUAGAGUAUGGUAGAGGGUGGUGGAAUUUCCUGUGUAGCGGUGAAAUGCGUAGAUAUAGGAAGGAACACCAGUGGCGAAGGCGACCACCUGGACUGAUACUGACACUGAGGUGCGAAAGCGUGGGGAGCAAACAGGAUUAGAU